UCUAUCCCUAGAGGCAUUGCAGCUGUGAUUGCUGUGUCACAUGUGCAUUUGUAGGUAGCAGAGAGAAGAGAGGCUGUGUAUGUUCAGUGUUCUGACCUGUGAACAUCUGAACAUUUAGUCCUGAAAAA